rnacentral:rRNA from 1 species
AACGAACGCUGGCGGCAGGCUUAACACAUGCAAGUCGAGCGCCCCGCAAGGGGAGCGGCAGACGGGUGAGUAACGCGUGGGAAUCUACCGUACCCUACGGAAUAGCUCCGGGAAACUGGAAUUAAUACCGUAUACGCCCUACGGGGGAAAGAUUUAUCGGGGUAUGAUGAGCCCGCGUUGGAUUAGCUAGUUGGUGGGGUAAAGGCCUACCAAGGCGACGAUCCAUAGCUGGUCUGAGAGGAUGAUCAGCCACAUUGGGACUGAGACACGGCCCAAACUCCUACGGGAGGCAGCAGUGGGGAAUAUUGGACAAUGGGCGCAAGCCUGAUCCAGCCAUGCCGCGUGAGUGAUGAAGGUCUUAGGAUUGUAAAGCUCUUUCACCGAUGAAGAUAAUGACGGUAGUCGGAGAAGAAGCCCCGGCUAACUUCGUGCCAGCCGCCGCCGUAAAAC